rnacentral:lncRNA from 1 species
CGUCAAUGGACUGGCUUAUCAGCAGAUCAAUUGUUACAUACCGCACAAGAUCGAGAACGAUAUCGGCAAAUUGUUAUGGAAGCUACCCACGCCUAAAAAUUUGGGCACGGUACUUAAAGAAGAAGAUAGUGUCAUUCUUCUGCACGAUAAUGAUCUGUUACGGUUUUUUUAAACCUUCACAAUUACUUUAUAUAUUAUGUUAAAUUGAAAGAUAUUUAAAUACUUUAAAACCCUCUGGUUACGCCUAUGGUAGUUCCUAUAAAACAGUUGGUUCGUUCGCAAAAAGGUUCUGUUCUGUUGAUUUGUUUAGGAAUGGUUUGAGAUUCUAGAAAUAUGCUGUCUUUCUCUCGUUCACAGGUUGUUCAUAGGUUCUUGUCACGUAACUGAAUCAAUCAGUGGUUCCGUGGUUGAAUGGUUCGUUUGAGUUGGAACUCAGAUGGAAUGACAGUAAGGACAGUGCUAGGAUUGCAAAAUUUAAGUUGUGUUUUGCUGAUCCAGAUUCAUCCGCCAUAAAAUAGGUUGGUUUUACGAAAAACCAUCGUCUAAGACGGAUUUGAACCUAUAAAUUUUGUGUGCGGAUGAAUAAUUUCGGUUUAGUUACUGUGCCAUAACCUCGGCUUGAGACACAUGAGUAUCUUAAAAGACUAUACUAUAAUCAAUAGUUUUGGUCGUUGUUGUACGCUUGGACUAACGUCCUGUGUCUUUACUAGGCUUGUCCAACAUCUGCGGUUGAGAAAAGGUCCUGUGACAACCCCUAUCACAUAAAACCUCAGGUAAAAACACAGGACGUAUAAUCUUUUAAGAUACUCAUGUGUCUCAAGCCGAGGUUAUGGCACAGUAACUAAACCGAAAUUAUUCAUCCGCACACAAAAUUUAUAGGUUCAAAUCCGUCUUAGACAAUGGUUUUUCGUAAAACCAAACUAUUUUAUGACGGAUGAAUCUGGAUCAGCAAAACACAACUUAAAUUUUGAAAUCCUAGCACUGUCCUUACUGUCAUUCCAUCUGAGUUCCAACUCAGACGAAGCAUUCAAGCACGGAACCACUGAUUGAUUCAGUUACGUGACAACCUGUGAACGAGAGAAAGACAGCAUAUUUCUAGAAUCUCAAACCAUUCCUAAACAAAUCAACAGAACAGAACCUUUUUGCGAACGAACCAACUGUUUUAUAGGAAGUACCAUAGGCGUAACCAGGGGGUUUUAAAGUAUUUAAAUAUCUUUCAAUUUAACAUAAUAAUAUAUAAAUGAAUUGUGAAGGUUUAAAAAAAACCGUAACAGAUCAGCCACAUGUUGCCAAAGUAAUUAAAGAAAAUCUAUAACGAAAAAGAUGGACGAUAUUAGGGCAUCCGCCCUACAGUCCCAAUUUAUCGCCUUGUGAUUUUCACAUCUUUGGGCCACUGAAAAGGUAAUCGUUUUCUGUCGGAUGAAUAACUACAAAAUGACGUAAAAGAAUUAUUCGAGCAAAUUUUUUCGGGAUCAAAGAUGAGUUUCAAUUGAACAAGUAUUUAUUAUUAGUUGGUAUUGGCUGGUUGGAGUAUUGAAAUAUAAGAGAAAAUGGGAAUGGUUCAGCAGAAGGUAAAUGCUUUAAUUUGCUUUAAUGGAGGAAGUCCAGAAAUACUCAACCACUAAUACAAAUAUCGUAUUUUCAAUUAAUAUCUUCAAGAAUUACUGGUACCAAAAUGAUGCCAAAAAAUUAUUUCUAUUAAUCUAGUUGUUUUAAUUUUCUAGUGUUCUGCAGGAAAACGUAACAUGCAACACAAAAAUUCUUACUUCUCACUAGAAAUAGCUCAAAUAAAAUUAAAUUGAGAGAAAUAGAUUAAGAGGCUGUGAAAAUUUAAGCAUCUUUUUUGUUAAUGACAUGUUAUAUAUUUUAUGUGUAAGUUAAUUGUAAAAAGUGAAUAAAUAUUUUUUAAAUGUUU